CCAGAAAUAUCACACCCUCAAGCACUUCUAGGAGCAUUGGAAAACGCCAGGACAGUACAACAAUCAGGACAAGGCUGCUUCCUUCCACAUCUUUUCCAAUUCAUUAUUCACCAAUAAUUCUACAAUAUGAUGCUAUAUACUCAGUGUUACAAAAUAAACCACAAAAGAAUCUGAGGAAUUGUAAGUAUCAUUAUAUAAACAUGGACAGAAAGAAUGCCUAUGAAAAACACAGAAUAAGUCUUGUGUCUUAUCAAAAUGGCAGAUUUUUAAGUUUCUAAAAAUUAUGAGGAUAUGAACAUUUGAAACCGGAGAAGAUGUACUGGUUAUGAUCAUCUACUAAUCCCUGUGCUACAUAUUAAUAAAUAUAAUGAAGACAAACUAGGUGCAAAAAAUUGAAAACCACAUUACAAAAUAACUAUUAAACAAAUUUGUGAAAUGGUGGAAAUUCAUUCUCAACACUCCAACUUCAUAAUAACUUUGAAAGGUGUUGCUAAACUGACAACUUGAAACUCAGUAACAUUCAGCUGUGACUCUGUCAUGUCAUACUUGUAUUUUUAAUAUGUUUGAAUUGUUACUGACUUCAUUUUUAAUUUAAUGUACAUAUUGUCUUAAUUUGCGUUAAUUUAGGAGACGUGUGAUACUGGUUUCAAUAAGAAUAACCAAGCAGGUCAAUACUGACAUAAUUUGGAAACAGUUCAUGUUGUAUACUGUGACUUAAAAGCCCUAUAAAGAUGAUAAUUAUGGAUAGAAAUGAUCAUGUUGGCAAUUAAUAUGUUGUUUUCGCUUAUGUCUGAAAAGUGGAAAUAGAUAACAAAAUAUAUGAUCAUUAUGUAACUUAAAACAGCCUGAUGAAUUUAACUGCCACCUCUUCACUGACAUACUCCACUUCCGGAGAUAAUAACAUUUCCAGCUGUACCUUGAGUAACUGUAUGAAUCUCAUUACAAAAUGGGAUUUUCAAAUAGAACAUGUCACAGAAAACCCUCAACAAAUCACAAAUAAUUUUCAAGUUUAAGUUACAUGUAAUAUAAUUACAUACAUUUGAUCAUGUGAAUUCUAGAUUGUCUGACUUAAUUAUCAAAAUAACAGUAUUACACAUUCACUGUGAAAGAAAUAUAAAACACUGUGUCAACAAACUUCACAGUUAUGGGAUACUAGGCAUUCUUCAUCAAUACUGAUUUUAUGCAGAAUGUGGCUGAUGAUGUGGCCUUUUUUAGAUACUGUUAAUUCUAAUGCUGUAAUGAUGACAGAGAACUAGUAUUUAUGGAAAUUUUAAAAUACUGUAAGAUUAUAAAAUUUCAGUGGAAUUGAAUCCUUACUGAAUCUGGAAAUCAUAUAUUAGAACUGAACUAGAAACAUGACACAAAAAGACACACAUAUAUGAAUGAAUAGAGGUAUCAGUCAAGAGGUAAGCUUACUGUAAAUACUAUUUUUCUGUAACACAUGCUCAGAUAUUCCAGAGUACAACAUAAUUAUGUGUGUUUAGAAAACAAUUCAUAGUGACACAAUUACUGCUUACAUGAUUUGUUAUUUUUUAUUGAGAAGCACACAGCCUUGAAUAAUUAAACAUUCAGUUCAGCAGUGAAUGGAUUAUAAUUUUUUUCUGAAUACUUUCCAAUUACACAGUAGACAUAUUUAUGUUAGUUAAAACAUAUCAUGAAGAUUACAGUCUUCUAGGACGUGUCACAGUGUAGUUGUAUUUUGGUACCUAUCUACCAAACUACAUGAUGUCACAUUUUAGGAGACUGCAAUCGGAUCUCACAGAGUAAUUAGCAUUUGUAUGAACAAAAAUGUAGCCUAUAGAGCCUUUCAAACUCUAUGAUCUUUUACUAUUCCUCUGAAAUCUUUAGCAUAAGUCAUGUCACUGCAAUUUGUAGAUACUGCUGCAUUACUUGUUAAUAAGCAUAGACAUGAAUGCUGGGACCUUGAGUAAACUGCCUUCACACUUUCCAAUUUCUUAUGAAAAAUAUUUUAAUUGCUGAAAUUAUUCAGAGACGAUCCAAUUUGAGACAAUUAUGAACAACGAUCAAGAGGAAGGAGGAGGAAGUAGUUGUCAUGUUAUUGCAUAGCUGGACUAAGGAAAACGAUAAUAAACCGAGAAAAAGGUCCAGAUUGGGAUUUAGUUGUGCACAUCCCAACAUCAAAUAAGCAGAAAGAAUAUGUUUCUAUUGUGAAAAAUUAAGAUCAGAAUUUCGUGAAGCAAAACUGGGACUAAGUUCCUAUGAAGAAAUUAUAAAAUUGUUACAGAAAGAAA